rnacentral:rRNA from 1 species
UACGAGGGGGGCAAAUGUUGUUCGGAAUCACUGGGCGUAAAGGGAGCGUAGGCGGGUUUCUAAGUCAGGUGUUUAAUCCCGGGGCCCAACCCCGGACAGGCACUUGAAACUGGGAAUCUUGAAUAGUGGAGAGGUCAGUGGAAUUGGGGGUGUAGCGGUGGAAUGCGUAGAGAUCCCCAAGAACACCCGUUGCGAAGGCGGCUGACUGGACAAAUAUUGACGCUGAGGCUCGAAAGCAUGGGGAGCAAACAGG